UACGUAGGUGGCAAGCGUUGUCCGGAAUUAUUGGGCGUAAAGCGCGCGCAGGCGGUCCCUUAAGUCUGAUGUGAAAGCCCACGGCUCAACCGUGGAGGGUCAUUGGAAACUGGGGGACUUGAGUACAGAAGAGGAAAGCGGAAUUCCACGUGUAGCGGUGAAAUGCGUAGAUAUCGAGAGGAACACCAGUGGCGAAGGCGAGUCCCUGGAAAACACCUGACACUGAGGCACGAAAGCUAGGGGAGCAAACAGG
rnacentral:rRNA from 1 species